AAGAAACUCUACAGGGACAUUGGCCGCACGGUGCUGGGCCACCAGUUCCUUGUCAAACAAAACAAGGAACAGUGACUGGUGGCCAAAGCCGACCUGGCCAAGUGUCAGGCCUUCACUUCAAGAUCCCUUCACUCCUUGAGGACAUCGAACAGGAUACUUGGCAGCAUACCUCUGCAGUAUCUAUGGACACAGGGCAGGGUCGUCAUACGGAUGCGGGUGUCUGAGGUCAAGGAGGCUGUGGGGAACCCUGAGAGUGAUUACCUCAUAAAUGUCAUUGACCAGAAAACGGUAUGGAAAUUUGGGACAGCGCAGAUCUACCUGGAGCCGGAGGAGUAUGGGUGGUUCACCCAGUGGCUCUGGCUCCGCAACCGGUCUGUGCCUCUGAAUAA